ensembl:lncRNA
CUGCUGUAAAACAAUUUGUAAAACAUCAGAAAGUGUAUUCAUAACCAUUUCAGGCUUUUAUAAACAUUAAACUCUACAAAUGUCUGUUUCCUAUCACCACCGCUCUGAACAACUCUGACAACUCUGAGUUUCUCUAGAAUAGGGCAUUUCACAUUAAACCACUCUGAAUAACUUGUUUGAAAUCAGUAAUGUAUGGACUAUAUAUUCUUAUCCAACUUCAGGCUGAAAGAAGCCCAGCAGUCAGUGCGUAACAUCACAGCAGAGAAGAAAGUGGAGACCAGAAGGGUCCAUGCAAACAGCUUGAAGGAAAGACUGCGUCAGAAAGAAGCGAGUAUAAGCAGCACCUAAGAUGUAACCAACUCUUCAUACUAAUACAAGGUGUACUUUACAUCAUUCACGAAUGGGAUUGGUGGCAGUUUUGAUCCAGGUAUUGUGGAAACUGCACAUGGAUUGGAAAAGUACCGCUAUUUGUGAGGGUGCUAUGCAUUCUGCCGAUUGCAGAAGGUCAUUCACUCCACAGUUAUUAGAGUCAUGCUGUAAAACUGUGGUCACUUAAGCUUCUUCCUGGAUUCUCCCCAGGUAAAACUAAUCCAGCUCCAACAGUUAAAGGAUGGAGUUUAAGAACUCUGGCCUGCACAUUAACGGGGAUGUAGCCAAGGAGUGGCCAGGGGCUGCUCUGUGAGCAUUAUAUGAAGUAGGCUAUGGGGAGAUGUGUUAACUCUUCAGAAUUAGUUGACUUUAAUCUUUUGUCACACUAAUUAUUUUCAUGUGCAUGUCAGGGGCUGGACGAAUCCUGUGCUAAGUGAAAUACAGUCAUAUCAACACCUCAGUCUAAACUGAGUUUUUUGUUCAUUUUCUAAGUGUGAGUGAGUCAGCACAUCCUCUUCAGGAACCAAACUUAAUUGUGGCACUGUUUUUAUUUAUUUGCUGAGUUUAACAGCUUAGAAAAAAUAAAAUGAAAAUGUGCCAUAACAUUUGCAAAGGCUACAUUUUGUUUACAUUUUUUCAAUAUUUUAAUACAAUACAAUAAAUCAGCAGACGUGUGUAGAGGAUGUCUACAUAAGUUCAUUAUGAGACCAACCAAAUCAAGUAACUUCAACAGCCUAAAAUGUUGACUGAAAGUAAACGUUCCUCUCACUGAAAGAAAGAGAUGCAUUUACUUUACUGUGACAAUAUUUUAUUGUAAUACAUUCUGCUACAGUAUGCUUUUCCGAGCAUAGUAUGAAUAUCGUCAGUACAUCAAGAACCAUUGACCAACUGCAUGUUUCAUUACAGUGAGAGCAAAAGUCCUGUUUAAUUGUAUUUAGUGCAACAAAACAAUGAACAAAAAUCACUGUGUUCAGGUUUUUUCUGAUUUUUUUACAUGUGGCAGUACUGCUUCUGACUUUUUUCUGCUUCAGUUUAUCAAAUCUCAGAAAUACGAAAUAUUGUGACAUAUCGCCUAUGGUGAAAGUUUUGUGAUGUUUUUGCUAUAUCAUCAGUUUACAUUUGACAGUUAUUGUGUUGUUGUUUUAUUGUGGAAAUUACAUACAGAUUCAGUAAAUUUUAUACAUUUUCAC